rnacentral:hammerhead_ribozyme from 1 species
GUACUGAUGAAGAGUCCCGAAAUAGAACGAAACAGAUGUCCAGUAC